rfam:Homo sapiens chromosome 20, GRCh38 reference primary assembly.
GGCUGGUCCAACUGCUGCACUGGUAUUUACAACUAACUGAUCACAACCAGUUACAGAUUUCUUUGUUCCUUCUCCACUCCCACUGCUUCACUUGACUUAAA